rnacentral:rRNA from 1 species
AUUGAACGCUGGCGGCAUGCCUUACACAUGCAAGUCGAACGGCAGCACGGGUGCUUGCACCUGGUGGCGAGUGGCGAACGGGUGAGUAAUACAUCGGAACGUACCUUAUCGUGGGGGAUAACGCAGCGAAAGUUGUGCUAAUACCGCAUACGUCCUGAGGGGGAAAGCGGGGGAUCGAAAGACCUCGCGCGAUUAGAGCGGCCGAUGCCUGAUUAGCUUGUUGGUGGGGUAAAAGCCCACCAAGGCAGCGAUCAGUAGCUGGUCUGAGAGGACAAUCAGCACAGCUGGGACUGAGACGCGGCCCAGACUCCUACGGGAGGCAGCAGUGGGGAAUUUUGGACAAUGGGGGCAACCCUGAUCCAGCAAUGCCGCGUGAGUGAAGAAGGCCUUCGGGUUGUAAAGCUCUUUUGUCAGGGAAGAAACACCGGCUCUAACACAGUCCGGGAAUGACGGUACCUGAAGAAUAAGCACCGGCUAACUACGUGCCAGCCGCCGCGGUAA